CCCACAUCCCAUUGCCCGCACUCUCUCGCUCUCCCACUCGCACCUGCGCCGCAUCCCCAAUCCCGCUCCCGCACGCGCUGACGCCGGAAACUGCUCCGCCAUCAGCGCUCCCAUCACAACAGCCUCGCCGAUCUGCCCCGCAGGUGCCGGCUCGCCGCAGUCUACAUCGCCGCCCACUCCGUCGUCAUCGAAUCCGUCCUCGGGCAGGAAUCACGUCGCCGCCGGUGCCCUCCGCGCCGAUCUGUUCCUCACCGCCACCGAUCCCCGCUGCCGGCUCGCCCUCCACCGACCCCCCGCCGGAAGCCCUUCUGUCGCCAGGUCUCCGCCGAUGCAUUCCACGCCGAGUUGCUCCUCGCCGCCACCGAUCCCUGCUGCCAGGUCGCUGUCGACGCCUUCCGCACCGAGCUGCUCCUCGCCGCGCCGCCACGGCGACGACGAUAGACUCCUCAGCAAGUUGCUCCUGCCGACCACCUAGCUAGCUAGCUAACGUCUCGACGAUGUGUUUGUGGCUAGCUAGAGCUCUGAUGCGGCAGCUUGUAUGGUGUGGCUGGAAGACGACGACGCAGCGUGUGCGAGAGGAUGGGAGUCACAAGCUCCAGCCUUAAGGGAGGGGAAGGAGCAUAAAAAAAAUUGAGGGAUGAAAAGAGAAAUAAAAAGUUAAAAACAGAGAGAAGACAAAAUAGAAAAAAAUUUGGAAGAUUGGAAGAGAGAUUCAGAAAAUUUAAUUCAGUGGCUCAUGACCGUUGUUCUAAAGAUAGGCCUGCAGUUCGCUACCGAGGUGCAGGAUAGCUAGGAAGGAGAUAACUGGAGCAGUACUUGUGUCAUAGACUGAUAGACAGUGCCGAUCGACGAGACAGUUGCAUCGAGGAUACUGGGCUUUUGGUCCCAUAGCUUCAAACAAAAAGACCGCUUUGUAGUUUCAAUCUGGAAAUCCAUUUUCGUUGGUCCCAUGCGGUGAAGAAAAUUGGGCUCCACUCUGCGCCGGCAACCCCGGCGAGCAACCUCUGCACCGCCACCUCCCCCGUCGUCUGGUCUCCACCACCGGUAAGAAAUUGCAGAACCCCACGUUUAAUUUAAUUAAAAAUCUUUUCUGUUCAGAGCUGCAGAUUAGGUGUUUAAUUUCUUCAUGGCACCCUUCAUGCAGAAGGAAUUACUCAAAUCAGACACAAGUGAAGCUAUUUGAGGGAUCACUAGCUGUACCAAUUUCUUUCCAGUUACAUUGGUGAACAAAAUUGAUAUAGGUACUGCAACUAGAUCAGUCGCACAGAACUUUCUCCAAAUUGGAUUGGCCUCAUUCCUGAUGACUACAUAAACAUCAUGGAAAAAAUUGUAUGCGAUGUGUGUUUGAUGUUAGGAAGUAUGUGAUGUGGAUUUGGGUGAUCUUACCAUCUUGUUGGCUUUUACAUGGCAUGAUUGACAGUGUGUAAAUAAAAUUAUUUAGUGCUCUGUAAAAAUAUAUGUUGCUUGUUGAUGUCUUAAUGGGCAUGGAUAACAUUGUCAUCUUACAUAAA